GGUGGGUUGGCUUGUCAGGUUGAUUCCGGUAACGAACGAGACCUCAGCCUGCUAAAUAGUCACGUCUGGUUCGCCAGACGGCAGACUUCUUAGAGGGACUAUUAGCGACUAUCAGCUAAUUGAAGUAUGAGGCAAUAACAGGUCUGUGAUGCCCUUAGAUGUUCUGGGCCGCACGCGCGCUACACUGACGCGUUCAACGAGCCUCCUGGUCACGAGAGGACCGGGUAAUCUUGUAAACCGCGUCGUGAUGGGGCUAGAGCUUUGUAAUUAUUGCUCUUUAACGAGGAAUGCCUAGUAAGCGCGAGUCAUCAACUCGCGUUGAUUACGUCCCUGCCCUUUGUACACACCGCCCGUCGCUCCUUCCGAUUGGGUGUGCUGGUGAAGAGUUCGGACUGAGCCAUGGCUCGCAAGAACCAAGGCCCGGGAAGUUCUU
rnacentral:rRNA from 1 species